rnacentral:rRNA from 1 species
UACGUAGGUGGCGAGCGUUGUCCGGAUUUACUGGGCGUAAAGAGCGCGCAGGCGGCUGGUCAAGUCCGAUGUGAAAGCUCCCGGCUUAACUGGGAAAUUGCAUCAGAAACUGAUCGGCUGGAAGGUGGGAGAGGGUAGCGGAAUUCCCGGUGUAGUGGUGAAAUGCGUAGAUAUCGGGAGGAACACCAGUGGCGAAAGCGGCUACCUGGCCCAUUCUUGACGCUGAGGCGCGAAAGCUAGGGGAGCAAACGGG